CUGUGGGUAUGGGUGUGAGUGUGGUUGUGAUUGUGUGGGUGUGGGUGUGAGUGGUGAUUGUGUGUGGGUGUGGGUGUGAGUGUGGUUGUGAUUGUGUGUGGGUGUGGUUGUGAUUGUGUGUGGGUGUGUGGUUGUGAUUGUGUGGGUGUGGGUGUGAGUGGUUGUGAUUGUGUGGGUGUGGGUGUGAGUGUGGUUGUGAUUGUGUGUGGGUGUGGGUGUGAGUGGUUGUGAUUGUGUGGGUGUGUGGUUGUGAUUGUGUGGGUGUGGGUGUGAGUGGUUGUGAUUGUGUGGGUGUGGGUGUGAGUGUGGUUGUGAUUGUGUGUGGGUGUGAGUGGUUGUGAUUGUGUGUGGGUGUGGGUGUGUGUGGUUGUGAUUGUGUGUGGGUAUGGGUGUGAGUGGUUGUGAUUGUGUGUGGGUGUGAGUGUGGUUGUGAUUGUGUGUGGGUGUGUGUGGUUGUGAUUGUGUGUGGGUGUGUGUGGUUGUGAUUGUGUGGGUAUGGGUGUGAGUGGUUGUGAUUGUGUGUGGAUAUGGGUGUGAGUGUGGUUGUGAUUGUGCGUGGGUGUGGGUGUGUGUGGUUGUGAUUGUGUGUGGGUGUGGGUGUGUGUGGUUGUGAUUGUGGGUGUGGGUGUGAGUGGUUGUGAUUGUGUGUGGGUGUGGGUGUGUGUGGUUGUGAUUGUGUGGGUGUGGGUGUGAGUGUGGUUGUGAUUGUGUGUGGGUGUGGGUGUGAGUGGUUGUGAUUGUGUGGGUGUGUGGUUGUGAUUGUGUGUGGGUGUGGGUGUGAGUGUGGUUGUGAUUGUGUGUGGGUGUGGGUGUGAGUGGUUGUGAUUGUGUGUGGGUGUGGGUGUGUGUGGUUGUGAUUGUGUGGGUAUGGGUGUGAGUGGUUGUGAUUGUGUGUGGGUGUGAGUGGUUGUGAUUGUGUGUGGGUGUGGGUGUGUGUGGUUGUGAUUGUGUGUGGGUGUGGGUGUGAGUGUGGUUGUGAUUGUGUGGGUAUGGGUGUGAGUGGCUGUGAUUGUGUGUGGGUGUGGGUGUGUGUGGUUGUGAUUGUGUGUGGGUGUGAGUGUGGUUGUGAUUGUGUGGGUGUGGGUGUGAGUGUGGUUGUGAUUGUGUGUGGGUGUGGGUGUGUGUGGUUGUGAUUGUGUGUGGGUGUGAGUGGUUGUGAUUGUGUGGGUGUGGGUGUGAGUGUGGUUGUGAUUGUGUGGGUGCGGGUGUGUGGUUGUGAUUGUGUGUGGGUGUGUGAUUGUGCGUGGGUGUGUGGUUGUGAUUGUGUGUGGGUGUGGGUGUGAGUGGUUGUGAUUGUGUGGGUGUGGGUGUGUGUGGUUGUGAUUGUGUGUGGGUGUGGGUGUGAGUGUGGUUGUGAUUGUGUGUGGGUAUGGGUGUGAGUGUGGUUGUGAUUGGGUGUGAGUGUGGUUGUGAUUGUGUGGGUGUGGGUGUGAGUGGUUGUGAUUGUGUGGGUGUGGGUGUGUGGUUGUGAUUGUGUGUGGGUGUGGUUGUGAUUGUGUGGGUGUCGGUGUGGGUGUGGUUGUGAUUGUGGGUGUGUGGUUGUGAUUGGUGUGGGUGAGUGUGGGUGUGAGUGUGGUUGUGAUUGUGUGUGGGUGGUUGUGGGUGUGUGGUUGUGAUUAUGGGUGUGGGUGGUUGUGAGUGUAGGUGUGGUUGGUUGUGAUUGUGGGUGUGUGGUUGUGAUUGUGGGUGUGGGGUGGUUGUGAGUGUGGGUGUGUGGGGGUAGUUGUGUGCUUGUGAUUGUGGGUGUGUGGGGUGGUUGUGAGCAUAGGUGUGGUUGUGGGUGUGUGGUUGUGAUUGUGGGUGUGUGGUUGUGAUUGUGGGUGUGUGGGUGGUUGUGAGCAUAAGUGGUUGUGGGUGUGUGGUUGUGGGUGUGAGUGUGGUUGUGAUUGUGGGUGUGUGGGUGGUUGUGAGUGUGCUUGUGGUUGUGAUUGUGGUGUGUCUGGUUGGUGGAGCUCGGGUCGUGUCUGAGUCCUACUGCACAUGCAAGGCUGGCAAGUGUGUGUUGCAUUUUGUUUCCACAGAGAAAAAUGGACGCUGCCUCAUAAGGUAGCAGUUGUGGGGAGGGUUCCCCAAAUACAAAACGGGGGCUCAGGUACUGGCUGGGCAAGAAAAGACGAGAAAGUUUUCCUGUCGAUGUGGCCUCUUGGAGGCUGAACUGUGUGGCAAUGUAACUAGAAACUGGAGACUUUAUUUAUUUAUUUAUUUUUUCUUUAUUUUAUUUUAUUUUAUUUUAUUUUUUUGAGACGGAGUCUCGCUCUGUCGCCCAGGCUGGAGUGCAGUGGCG
rnacentral:lncRNA from 10 species